CAGUAGCCGCGGUAAUACAGAGGGUGCGAGCGUUAAUCGGAUUUACUGGGCGUAAAGCGUGCGUAGGCGGCUUCUUAAGUCGGAUGUGAAAUCCCUGAGCUUAACUUAGGAAUUGCAUUCGAUACUGGGAAGCUAGAGUAUGGGAGAGGAUGGUAGAAUUCCAGGUGUAGCGGUGAAAUGCGUAGAGAUCUGGAGGAAUACCGAUGGCGAAGGCAGCCAUCUGGCCUAAUACUGACGCUGAGGUACGAAAGCAUGGGGAGCAAACAGGAUUAGAUACCCGCGUAGUCCCUGUCUCUUAUAU
rnacentral:rRNA from 1 species